rnacentral:sRNA from 1 species
GCCAGGCAUGGUGGCGCACACCUGUAAUCCCAGCAGCUUGGGAGGCUGAGGCAGGAGUAUCUCAAGUUCAAAGCCAGCCUCAGCAAAAGCAAGAAGCUAAGCAACUCAGCGAGACCCUGUCUCUC